rnacentral:snoRNA from 1 species
AGACCGUGAUGAGAGCACUUUCUUAGUAGCUCCUUGAAUCUUUUCCAAGUUUCAGAUAAGGAUUCCCCAUCCUCUUGUGAAUAUGUAUUAAUUUCAGUCAUUAAUUU